AGCGGUGUAGUUCAGCGGUUAGAACAUUGGAAUCAUAUCCCAGAUGUCAGGGGUUCAAAUCCCUUCUCCGUUA
rnacentral:tRNA from 4 species